GACGAACGCUGGCGGCGUGCUUAACACAUGCAAGUCGAACGGAAAGGCCCUGCUUGCAGGGUGCUCGAGUGGCGAACGGGUGAGUAACACGUGGGUGAUCUGCCCCUUAUUUUGGGAUAAGCCUGGGAAACUGGGUCUAAUACUGGAUAGGACCAUGCUGUAGGUGGUGUGGUGGAAAGAUUAGUUUCGGUAAGGGAUGAGCUCGCGGCCUAUCAGCUUGUUGGUGGGGUAAUGGCCUACCAAGGCGUCGACGGGUAGCCGGCCUGAGAGGGUGGACGGCCACAUUGGGACUGAGAUACGGCCCAGACUCCUACGGGGGGCAGCAGUGGGGAGUAUUGCACAAUGGGCGCAAGCCUGAUGCAGCGACGCCGCGUGGGGGAUGACGGCCUUCGGGUUGUAAACUCCUUUCAGCCAUGACGAAGCCCUUGUGGUGACGGUAGUGGUAGAAGAAGCACCGGCUAACUACGUG
rnacentral:rRNA from 1 species